rnacentral:rRNA from 1 species
GACGAACGCUGGCGGCGUGCUUAACACAUGCAAGUCGAACGGAAAGGCCCUUCGGGGUACUCGAGUGGCGAACGGGUGAGUAACACGUGGGUGAUCUGCCCUGCACUUUGGGAUAAGCCUGGGAAACUGGGUCUAAUACCGAAUACACCCUGCUGGUCGCAUGGCCUGGUGGGGGAAAGCUUUUGCGGUGUGGGAUGGGCCCGCGGCCUAUCAGCUUGUUGGUGAGGUUACGGCUCACCAAGGCGACGACGGGUAGCCGGCCUGAGAGGGUGACCGGCCACACUGGGACUGAGAUACGGCCCAGACUCCUACGGGAGGCAGCAGUGGGGAAUAUUGCACAAUGGGCGCAAGCCUGAUGCAGCGACGCCGCGUGGGGGAUGACGGCCUUCGGGUUGUAAACCUCUUUCAGUAGGGACGAAGCGCAAGUGACGGUACCUACAGAAGAAGGACCGGCCAACUACGUGCCAGCAGCCGCGGUAAUACGUAGGGUCCGAGCGUUGUCCGGAAUUACUGGGCGUAAAGAGCUCGUAGGUGGUUUGUCGCGUUGUUCGUGAAAACCGGGGGCUUAACCCUCGGCGUGCGGGCGAUACGGGCAGACUUGAGUACUGCAGGGGAGACUGGAAUUCCUGGUGUAGCGGUGGAAUGCGCAGAUAUCAGGAGGAACACCGGUGGCGAAGGCGGGUCUCUGGGCAGUAACUGACGCUGAGGAGCGAAAGCGUGGGGAGCGAACAGGAUUAGAUACCCUGGUAGUCCACGCCGUAAACGGUGGGUACUAGGUGUGGGUUUCCUUCCUUGGGAUCCGUGCCGUAGCUAACGCAUUAAGUACCCCGCCUGGGGAGUACGGCCGCAAGGCUAAAACUCAAAGAAAUUGACGGGGGCCCGCACAAGCGGCGGAGCAUGUGGAUUAAUUCGAUGCAACGCGAAGAACCUUACCUGGGUUUGACAUGCACAGGACGCUGGUAGAGAUAUCAGUUCCCUUGUGGCCUGUGUGCAGGUGGUGCAUGGCUGUCGUCAGCUCGUGUCGUGAGAUGUUGGGUUAAGUCCCGCAACGAGCGCAACCCUUGUCUCAUGUUGCCAGCACGUUAUGGUGGGGACUCGUGAGAGACUGCCGGGGUCAACUCGGAGGAAGGUGGGGAUGACGUCAAGUCAUCAUGCCCCUUAUGUCCAGGGCUUCACACAUGCUACAAUGGCCGGUACAAAGGGCUGCGAUGCCGUGAGGUGGAGCGAAUCCUUUCAAAGCCGGUCUCAGUUCGGAUCGGGGUCUGCAACUCGACCCCGUGAAGUCGGAGUCGCUAGUAAUCGCAGAUCAGCAACGCUGCGGUGAAUACGUUCCCGGGCC